GACGAACGCUGGCGGCAUGCUUAACACAUGCAAGUCGAACGGAAUUGCCUGCUUUCCCUUGUGGAUUCCGGGUACGCGAGUGGCGAACGGGUGAGAAACACCUGUGUGUUCUGCCUACAACUUGGGUAUAAACAUGGAUAACUGGGUAUAAAUUCCGUUAGGACUGUAGGGUGUUGCAUGUCGGGGGGAACGAUUUUGUAGCGCUCGGGGAUGAGUACGCGGUCUAUUAGCUUGUUGCUGGGGCAAUGGUCUACCAGGGGGGGGACGGGUAGACGGCCCGAGAGGGUGGACGGCCACAUUGGGACUGAGAUACGGCCCAGACUCCUACGGGAGGCAGCAGUGGGGAAAAUUGCACAAGGGGCGGAAGCCUGAUGCAGCGACGCCGCGUGGGGGAUGACGGCCUUCGGGUUGUAAACUCCUUUCGACCGCGAGGAAGCCACCUGGUGGGAAGGGUGGUGACGGUAGUGGUAGAAGAAGCACCGGCUAACUACGUG
rnacentral:rRNA from 1 species